rnacentral:rRNA from 1 species
UGCGCCUUGCCAGCCCGCUCAGAAACUCAAAGGAAUUGACGGGGGCCCGCACAAGCGGUGGAGCAUGUGGUUCAAUUCGACGCAACGCGAAGAACCUUACCUGGGCUAGACAACAGUGGACCGUCCUAGAGAUAGGAUUUUCCCUUCGGGGACCGCUGGUUCAGGUGCUGCAUGGCUGUCGUCAGCUCGUGCCGUGAGGUGUUGGGUUAAGUCCCGCAACGAGCGCAACCCUCGUACUUAGUUGCCACCAUUCAGUUGGGCACUCUAGGUAGACUGCCGGCGUUAAGCCGGAGGAAGGUGGGGACGACGUCAAGUCAUCAUGGCCCUUAUGCCCAGGGCCACACACGUGCUACAAUGGGCGGCACAAAGGGUCGCGAACCCGCGAGGGGGAGCCAAUCCCAAAAGCCGUUCUCAGUUCGGAUUGCACUCUGCAACUCGAGUGCAUGAAGUUGGAAUCGCUAGUAAUCGCGGAUCAGCACGCCGCGGUGAAUACGUUCCCGGGCCUU